UACGAAGGGGGCUAGCGUUGCUCGGAAUCACUGGGCGUAAAGGGUGCGUAGGCGGGUUUUAAGUCAGGGGUGAAAUCCUGGAGCUCAACUCCAGAACUGCCUUUGAUACUGGAGAGCUAGAGUCCGGAAGAGGUGAGUGGAACUGCGAGUGUAGAGGUGAAAUUCGUAGAUAUUCGCAAGAACACCAGUGGCGAAGGCGGCUCACUGGUCCGGUACUGACGCUGAGGUGCGAAAGCGUGGGGAGCAAACAGG
rnacentral:rRNA from 1 species